UACAGAGGUCUCAAGCGUUGUCCGGAAUCAUUGGGCGUAAAGCGCGCGUAGGCGGCCCCGGUAAGUCCGUUGUGAAAGUCAAAGGCUCAACCUUUGAACGCCGAUGGAUACUGCCGGGCUAGAGUCCGGAAGAGGCGAGUGGAAUUCCUGGUGUAGCGGUGAAAUGCGCAGAUAUCGGGAGGAACACCGGUGGCGAAGGCGGCGAUCUGGGUAGAUACUGACGCUGAGGUGCGAAAGCGUGGGGAGCAACAGG
rnacentral:rRNA from 1 species